UAAAUAUAUUUGUAGUGGUUUGAUGAGACCUCUUUGUAUUAAAUAUAUUGCAAACACUUUCAGCGUUUUUUUUCACGAACAUCGAGAAUAUGUGGAUGUACAUAAUAAAGAUGUAUGUAAUUACCAAAAUGCAAACAUACAGGCUAUUAAAAUAGUAAUCGAACACACAGCAUGAAUACUUAACUUCCGAAUUAAUGGCAUAAGUUGAACAAUUUAAUUAAUUAGGUUGGUCUAGGUAGGGUAUAUAUGAAUAUUGAUACUAUUACUAUUUUUGGCAAAAAUGUAACAAAUACGAAUUGCGAUUUAACAUUCAAACUUUAACGUGUUGUAUGUACAUAUGAAUUCUAUUUAUUGUCAUAAGUUCAUUCACCGAUUCAUUGCGAAUAGUUUGGUUUUCUAAUAUGUACUACUCUGAUGUGCGAUCACAAGAAUUAGAUAUUUACUCGUAUAUGUACUAUAUGUAGUUAUGUAGAUGUGUAUACAUAUCUGCUUAUCUGAAAUGUAUGUAUAUGACAUACA